UUCAUUUAAUCUUAGCUUGUGAUUUUGGCCAGAUUCUUUAUAAAAAACUUCAUAGUUUUGGUUAAUUAAAAUAUUUUUAGAAACAUCCAAUGUAAUACUCUUAACUAAGCCAAACUUAUUAACCGUCAUAAGAUUUAUUUCUGGGCUUUCAUUUUCACUUAUAGAAGGCGAAGCAAUUAAUAACACACCAUUAUUUGUUUCUGGAAAAAUAACUGAAUCACCAUAACUUGGAUUAAUAAAAUUAUAAACCUUAAUAAGAUUAGUACUAUUAAUUAAAUUUAUUUGACUACAACUAUUUUUUUCUUCUAAUAAAAUACAGUUAAUAUGAUUAUUAGAAUUAUAAGGAAGUGGUGUUAUAUAAAAACCAUCAUUAUUUUUCAAAUUUUUCGGUCUUUCAAUAUUUUUCUUUGAGUGACUUAAAUUACCUAAUCUGCUUUUAUAUUCUUGAUUAUAACAAGAUUCACGAGCCAAAGCAGGACCUUCACCUAAACCAUAAUUUAAAUAACCUUCACACUUAUUAGAAAUUUCUUUCUCCCAUUUUUUAACAUCUUUUUCUCUAUUAUUCCCUUUAUUAAUCAAUUCAUUUUCUAGAAAGUCAUUAUUUUUUAAAAAACAGUUUAGAUUUUGAUUUAUAUUAUCAGAUUGACACUUGUUUUCUGAAGCAUUUGUAUACGAAGAUAUUAAACCACUUAGACUUACUAAAUAUAAAAUAUAUAUCUUUUUUGAUAAAAAAAUCAUAUUAAAUUCCUUUAAAAAUCAAAUAUAAAUAUUAUAUUCGAACUUAUUCAGAUUUUUAUUUAAAAAUUUAGCCACUACUUAGGAUAACCUUUGGUAUCUCAGCUUAAGAAUAAAUUAUAUAAUA
rnacentral:rRNA from 1 species